rnacentral:rRNA from 1 species
AGAGUUUGAUCAUGGCUCAGGAUUAACGCUAGCGGCAGGCCUAAUACAUGCAAGUCGAACGGCAGCACGGGUAGCAAUACCUGGUGGCGAGUGGCGCACGGGUGCGUAACGCGUAUGCAACCUACCUUUAACUGGAGAAUAGCCCCGAGAAAUCGGGAUUAAUACUUCAUAAUAUUAUGUUGUGGCAUCACAGUAUAAUUAAAGCUCCGGCGGUUUUAGAUGGGCAUGCGUGACAUUAGUUUGUUGGUGAGGUAACGGCUCACCAAGACUACGAUGUCUAGGGGUUCUGAGAGGAUUUUCCCCCACACUGGUACUGAGACACGGACCAGACUCCUACGGGAGGCAGCAGUAAGGAAUAUUGGGCAAUGGACGCAAGUCUGACCCAGCCAUGCCGCGUGCAGGAUGACAGCCCUACGGGUUGUAAACUGCUUUUGUACGGGAAAAAUUCCCUGGUCGUGAACCGGGGUUGAUGGUACCGUAAGAAUAAGCAUCGGCUAACUCCGUGCCAGCAGCCGCGGUAAUACGGAGGAUGCAAGCGUUAUCCGGAUUCAUUGGGUUUAAAGGGUGCGCAGGCGGAAUGAUAAGUCAGUGGUGAAAUCCUACAGCUCAACUGUAGAACUGCCGUUGAUACUGUUGUUCUUGAGUACAUUUGUAGUGGGCGGAAUGUGUCUGUAGCGGUGAAAUGCUUAGAGAUGACACAGAACACCGAUCGCGAAGGCAGCUCACUAAACUGUAACUGACGCUCAGGCACGAAAGCGUGGGGAUCAAACAGGAUUAGAUACCCUAGUAGUCC